rnacentral:rRNA from 1 species
GAGUUUGAUCCUGGCUCAGAUUGAACGCUGGCGGCAGGCCUAACACAUGCAAGUCGAGCGCGAAAGGCCUUCGGGCUGAGUAGAGCGGCGGACGGGUGAGUAACGCGUAGGAAUCUACCUGGUAGUGGGGGACAACUUGGGGAAACUCAAGCUAAUACCGCAUACGCCCUAUGGGGGAAAGCGGGGGACCUUCGGGCCUCGCGCUAUCGGAAGAGCCUGCGUAGGAUUAGCUAGUUGGUGAGGUAAAGGCUCACCAAGGCGACGAUCCUUAGCUGGUCUGAGAGGAUGAUCAGCCACACUGGGACUGAGACACGGCCCAGACUCCUACGGGAGGCAGCAGUGGGGAAUAUUGGACAAUGGGCGCAAGCCUGAUCCAGCCAUGCCGCGUGUGUGAAGAAGGCCUUCGGGUUGUAAAGCACUUUAAGUGGGGAGAAAGGCCCGUUGGCGAAUACCCAACGGGAUUGAUGUUACCCACAGAAUAAGCACCGGCUAACUCCGUGCCAGCAGCCGCGGUAAUACGGAGGGUGCGAGCGUUAAUCGGAAUUACUGGGCGUAAAGCGCGCGUAGGCGGUUUGUUAAGUCAGCUGUGAAAGCCCCGGGCUCAACCUGGGAACUGCAGUUGAUACUGUCCGACUAGAGUACGAGAGAGGGAGGUAGAAUUCCAUGUGUAGCGGUGAAAUGCGUAGAUAUAUGGAGGAAUACCAGUGGCGAAGGCGGCCUCCUGGCUCGAUACUGACGCUGAGGUGCGAAAGCGUGGGGAUCAAACAGGAUUAGAUACCCUGGUAGUCCACGCCGUAAACGAUGUCUACUAGCCGUUGGGAGACUUGAUUUCUUAGUGGCGCAGCUAACGCAGUAAGUAGACCGCCUGGGGAGUACGGCCGCAAGGUUAAAACUCAAAUGAAUUGACGGGGGCCCGCACAAGCGGUGGAGCAUGUGGUUUAAUUCGAUGCAACGCGAAGAACCUUACCAGGUCUUGACAUCCAGAGAACUUGGCAGAGAUGCCUUGGUGCCUUCGGGAGCUCUGAGAC